AUAUGUGAUAACAAGAUGACAAAUUUGAAAACUGAUGAGUUGUAUAUGUAUUUUGAUCAUCUUGUGAGCCAGCCAGUUAUGAAUGAAGCAGGAGAUAUUCCUGUAGAGUUGAGUGAUUCCUCCACUGAUGAUGGCUAUGAGAGCGCUGAAGAUGAGGCUUAUAAGCCUCCCCCACCUAGUUAUGAGACACUCAGUAGCAAUAGUAGUGAGGAGUUAAGCUCAAGAAAUAGGUCCAGGAAUAAGUGUAAGAAGGACACACCUAAAAAAAAGACAAUGACAUUUAAGAAGAAGAGAGCAACACCUAAGAAGAAGAUGUGACAUAUGUGAAGAAAAAAGUUAAUGAAGAUAAUGGCUUAUAUCCUAAAACCAAGAAGAAGACUGUGACACCUGUGAAGAAAAAAGUUAAUGAUGAUGAUGGCUUAUCUCCUAAAACCAAGAAGAAGAAAAAUAAGAGAUAUGUGAAGAUAAGAAGACAUAUUUUGGAUAGGGAUGAGGCUGUGAACUUGCAGUUGUUGCAAUAUCUAAGCUACGAAAGCUUAACUUGAAGUCUGAAGAUUUUGUGCAUGAGUGACUUACCAUGGAUGCCAUAUGUGCCACUUAUGGUAUAACAAUUCAAUUUGUAAAUAGUGAGAAAUUUUGGGAGAUAUUAGAUGCUCUUAGGCCUGUGGCACCUGCCAUCAAGAAACCCCCCACUACAAGAGAGACGGGACUUAGCAAUCGAAAAUUACCAGCAUUUUUCCAAAAUGCCACAAAUCCACUGGGUUGCUGCGGUUCUUGUUGCAUAAUCAAACUCUGCUCCAAUUGAUCGGAUUUGCUGGCUGUUUACGUCCCCAACCGCAACCAAUAACCUUGGGGGAGGGGGCUUUGUUUCAUUAAAAUACCCCCCAACCAAAAUAUUUCGGCGCCAUUAACCUUCAUCCUUUUCGCGUGAACCCCAGCAGAGCAAAGGCACCAAUCACUGGUCUCCUUCCCCCGCCAUCGUGACUCUUCCCUCCGUCAGUUCCAGCUACCACGUCUGAUGUCGUCGUUCUUCCCCGUCACUGAUCUCCUCCCUCCGCGUGUAGCUCCCACGCGCGAAGGUAAAGUGAAAGGGGUCAUCCAAGUCUUCUCCUUCCUCUGUGCACGUCUGUAAUGUCGUCGGCGGUCGCCCCAACCAUCCUUCCCGGUGUCAUCGUCGGCAGCCUUCCCCCUUGCCCUUGCCCUUGCCCUGUUGUGCGUUGCUGAUCGCCCUCUCUCCCCUCUCUCUGGGGGCUAUGAAUGCUUUCUCUUGUUCUCGGAUAUGAAAUUACUGAAGCAUCUGAUGCUGAUAUUGCUUCUAGCUACCCUAAUUUAGAAUUGCUUGAUCUCAGUGGAUCUCGCAUAAGUGACAGUGACAUAGGAAUAAUUUACAAUGUGUUUCCUGAAACACUAUCAAGACUCCUUCUUGAUUGUUGAAAUGUCUCGUGUUACUGACAAAGACACCAGUAGCAUCCAUGCCCUUGAAGAGUUACACAAAAGUCUUGAGAAGAGAGAUGUUGAGGUCUAGUCGAGGACCAACAAUUAAUAGAGACCUUGGUGUCAGUAUAAGUGCUCCUGGUGCUGCAUCAACUAAAAGCUUUACUAAAUUUGAUCAAAGCAACAACUAAAAGCUUUGAUCCAGCUAAUAGAAUUUUUUUAAUAUAGUAAUUUUGUAUUAUUCAAUAUCUUUUGAAUAAAUAAUUUACAAAAUAAUGUUUUUUUUUAGUUACGUUUUGGAAUUAUCCACAAAUUUAAUAUUAUUUAUUUAGUGUUUUUUAUGUUAAUAUCUCAAAUUUAAUAAAUAUAAUGUAAAGAAAAUAGGUUAUAGUAAUGAAAAUGCUAUAACUAUUGUAGUUGGUCCUUUUUUUUAUCUCGUGUAUGAAAUUGCGGCGGUUCGAAAUCGUUGCAAUUUUUUUAAAAAACCAACAUAAAUUUGUGGCGGUUUUAAAACCGCCGCAGUUUUUUUAAUCCAUUGAAAAAAUAGUGGCGGUUCUGCAACCGCCGCAAAAUUGUCAACCUGAUUUGC